CCUCAAAUAUUCCUUUUCUGAAAGUCCCCCAGCCACUUCCUGAGAGUAGGAAUUUCUCGCCAGCCCCCUCUUCUCAAAUGCCAGCUUUCCUCCGUGUGGCUUGGAUGCCUCAAACUCAACACCCUCAUCGCCUUCAUUUCUUUCUCACAGAAGCCACAUGACUCCGUGUGAGGCCUACACACAGGAGAGACAGACGUGAACUGGAAGACUCCAGAGGUGGCGUCUGCCCUGGGAGCAGAGAUGGUAGGGCCUGGGGUUGCUGCCUCGCAGGAAAGAGCUGGGUACCAGGUGAGGACUUCUGGGCCCUGGUUCUGAUCUGGCCCAGGCUGGCUCACAGACAGACAAUAUCAAUGUUCUGUGGUUCAGGCCAGGAUACAGAAAGCAUGGGAUAGAGCAGGAGCCUAAAGGAACGUGACUCACCCAGCUGGGGGUGUUCAGGGAGAACAGGGAAAGGUAAAGGGUCCUGGACUAAGCUGGGGCUUGAAGAAUGAGAAGCUCUUGGCCAGGUGGAGGAAGGGAGGAAAGGAGUGUUUCAGGCAGGUAGUCCACUCGCCUACGUCUGGUACCUCUGCAAAUUAGACAGAGGUGCCCCCUCUGGGCAAAUGUAGACAGUGACAGAGAGGCCUGCAUGUGUGCGAAGCUUGGCAUGCUCUGUGGCAGCAGGAGAAUGGUCUUGAUGUCUAAGCCCUAAUCCCCAGACCCUGAGCAUCAGCUUGUGGCUGUGUUGAAGGACCUUGAGAUGGAGCGUGUCUCCUGGAUGAUCUAAGCUGGCCCUGGGUGAUCACUGUGAUUCUUCUAAGAGGGAGGCAGAGAGAGAGGUCAGUGUCAGAGAGAGAUGCGGUGACAGGAGCAGAGGUCAGGAAGAUUCGAAGCUGCUCCUCGGUGGCUUUGCAGAUGUAGGGAGGGCCAGGAACCAAGGAAUCACGUGGCUUUUUGAAACGGGGAAAGGCAAGCCAGUGGAUUCUUUCUCAGAAGCUCCAGAAGGAAUGCAGCCCUGCUGGCACCUUGGCUUUCAUCCUUUAAGACCCAUGUUUGGACUCCUGACCUCCAGAACUGUAAAGUGGAGAAACUGAGAUUCAGACAAGGAGCUUCUUGUUCAGCAAACACUACUUAGCCAAUAAUCUAAAUGGAAGUUAAUGGAGAAUUGUUUGACUCAGUGCUAUGGUCUGAAUGUUGUGUCCCUCCCAAAUUCAAAUUCAAAU
rnacentral:lncRNA from 13 species